rnacentral:rRNA from 1 species
UACGGGAGUGGCAGACGGGAGAGUAACACGUGGGAACGUGCCCUUCAGUUCGGAACAACCCAGGGAAACUUGGGCUAAUACCGGAUACGUCCGUAAGGAGAAAGAUUUAUCGCUGAAGGAUCGGCCCGCGUCUGAUUAGCUAGUUGGUGAGGUAACGGCUCACCAAGGCGACGAUCAGUAGCUGGUCUGAGAGGAUGAUCAGCCUCAUUGGGACUGAGACACGGCCCAA